UACGAAGGGGGCUAGCGUUGCUCGGAAUCACUGGGCGUAAAGGGUGCGUAGGCGGGUCUUUUAAGUCAGGGGUGAAAUCCUGGAGCUCAACUCCAGAACUGCCUUUGAUACUGAAGAUCUUGAGUUCGGGAGAGGUGAGUGGAACUGCGAGUGUAGAGGUGAAAUUCGUAGAUAUUCGCAAGAACACCAGUGGCGAAGGCGGCUCACUGGCCCGACACUGACGCUGAGGCGCGAAAGCGUGGGGAGCAAACAGG
rnacentral:rRNA from 1 species